rnacentral:lncRNA from 10 species
AAAUUGCGGAGUGAGUUUUGAUGUGGCAGUGUGUAUGCUGUCUUGGUUAUCCAGCUGUUUUGACUCGGUUUUGAUGGCAACAUAUACUGACCAUGAAACUCAGAGCAAGUCAGGAGGAGGCAGCCUGGGCCUGGUGGGGCACUUCUCUGAUGUCAACAGGGUCUGCCCACCCUGCCAUCUUUAGUGUGGCUUCCUGCAUCGCCGAUCGACCAAGUGGCAGACCUGAGGGCAAAAGGAAGCCUGAUAUUGGAGUCAGCCCCCUUUGGAAGAACUUUC